rnacentral:lncRNA from 1 species
UCACAUGGACUUGCCCAGUUAAAUAAAUAAAGGUUCAAUAACAAUAAAUAAAACAGUAACCUGAAAACAACCUGAACAUGACGUCUGUGUCUGAAAUGGCACCCUCUACAGUGCACUAGCUUUGACCAGCUACCAUAGGGGUUUAUUCUGAACUAGUGCACUACAUAGGGAGUAGGGUGCCAUACUGGUCAGAACUACUGCACUACAUAGGGAUUAAGGCUCCAAUACUGGUCAAAACUAGUGAACUACAUAGGGAUUAAGGGUUCAAUACUGGUCAAAACUAGUGCACUACAUAGGGAUUAAGGCUCCAAUACUGGUCAAAACUAGUGCACUACAUAGGGAUUAAGGGUUCAAUACUGGUCAAAACUAGUGCACUACAUAGGGAUUAAGGCUCCAAUACUGGUCAAAACUACUGCACUACAUAGGGAUUAAGGGUUUAAUACUGGUCAAAACUAGUGCACUACAUAGGGAUUAGGGUGCCAUACUGGUCAGAACUACUGCACUACAUAGGGAUUAAGGCUCCAAUACUGGUCAAAACUAGUGAACUACAUAGGGAUUAAGGGUCCAAUACUGGUCAAAACUAGUGCACUACAUAGGGAUUAAUUAAGGGUGCCAUACUGGUCAAAACUAGUGCACUACAUAGGGAUUAAGGGUCCAAUACUGGUCAAAACUAGUGCACUACAUAGGGAUUAAGGGUUCAAUACUGGUCAAAACUACUGCACUACAUAGGGAUUAAGGCUCCAAUACUGGUCAAAACUAGUGAACUACAUAGGGAUUAAGGGUUCAAUACUGGUCAAAACUAGUGCACUACAUAGGGAUUAGGGUGCCAUACUGGUCAAAACUAGUGCACUACAUAGGGAUUAAGGCUCCAAUACUGGUCAGAACUAGUGCACUACAUAGGGAUUAAGGCUCCAAUACUGGUCAAAACUAGUGCACUACAUAGGGAUUAGGGUGCCAUACUGGUCAGAACUACUGCACUACAUAGGGAUUAAGGCUCCAAUACUGGUCAAAACUAGUGCACUACAUAGGGAUUAGGGUGCCAUACUGGUCAAAACUAGUGCACUACAUAGGGAUUAGGGUGCCAUACUGGUCAGAACUACUGCACUACAUAGGGAUUAAGGCUCCAAUACUGGUCAAAACUAGUGCACUACAUAGGGAUUAAGGGUUCAAUACUGGUCAAAACUAGUGCACUACAUAGGGAUUAAGGGUCCAAUACUGGUCAAAACUAGUGCACUACAUAGGGAUUAAUUAAGGGUGCCAUACUGGUCAAAACUAGUGCACUACAUAGGGAUUAAGGGUCCAAUACUGGUCAAAACUAGUGCACUACAUAGGGAUUAAGGGUCCAAUACUGGUCAAAACUAGUGCACUACAUAGGGAUUAAUUAAGGGUGCCAUUCUGGUCAAAACUAGUGCACUACAUAGGGAUUAGGGUCCAAUACUGGUCAAAACUAGUGCACUACAUAGGGAUUAGGGUCCAAUACUGGUCAAAACUAGUGCACUACAUAGGGAUUAGGGUGCCAUACUGGUCAGAACUACUGCACUACAUAGGGAUUAGGGUGCCAUACUGGUCAGAACUACUGCACUACAUAGGGAUUAAGGGUCCAAUACUGGUCAAAACUAGUGCACUACAUAGGGAUUAAGGGUUCAAUACUGGUCAAAACUAGUGCACUACAUAGGGAUUAAGGGUGCCAUACUGGUCAAAACUAGUGCACUACAUAGGGAUUAAGGCUCCAAUACUGGUCAAAACUACUGCACUACAUAGGGAUUAAUUAAGGGUGCCAUUCUGGUCAAAACUAGUGCACUACAUAGGGAUUAAGGGUCCAAUACUGGUCAAAACUAGUGCACUACAUAGGGAUUAAGGGUCCAAUACUGGUCAAAACUACUGCACUACAUAGGGAUUAAGGGUCCAAUACUGGUCAAAACUAGUGCACUACAUAGGGAUUAAGGCUCCAAUACUGGUCAAAACUAGUGAACUACAUAGGGAUUAAGGGUUCAAUACUGGUCAAAACUAGUCCACUACAUAGGGAUUAAGGGUCCAAUACUGGUCAAAACUAGUGCACUACAUAGGGAUUAAGGGUUCAAUACUGGUCAAAACUAGUGCACUACAUAGGGAUUAGGGUGCCAUACUGGUCAAAACUACUGCACUACAUAGGGAUUAGGGUGCCAUACUGGUCAGAACUACUGCACUACAUAGGGAUUAGGGUGCCAUACUGGUCAGAACUAGUGAACUACAUAGGGAUUAAGGGUCCAAUACUGGUCAAAACUAGUGCACUACAUAGGGAUUAAUUAAGGGUGCCAUACUGGUCAAAACUAGUGCACUACAUAGGGAUUAGGGGUUCAAUACUGGUCAAAACUAGUGCACUACAUAGGGAUUAAGGGUUCAAUACUGGUCAAAACUAGUGCACUACAUAG